CUUGAGGUGGAGGGCUUUUUGAAAGCAAGACAUUGGGAUAUGAAAUAGCUUUUGCACUUCAUAUGAUAGUAAUGAUGGGGAUGGUAGUAAUGACAGUGAUGUAGUAAUGACAGUGAUGGUAGUAACAAUGGUGGUAAUGAUGGGGAUGGUAGUAAUGAAGAAGUACUGGCUUCUUCAUGUUGCACUAGAGAGCUCACUAAGAAAAAAAAAAAGUUAAGCUCAGGGCUUUAAACUCUUAGCUCAAGUCAAGUCAUGGUCAAAGAAACUGAGAACUUCCACAGUGGCCUUAACAGAUGUCUUAUUUUUAUAUCACAAGCUGAGGACUAGACCAAAAAUCUUGUUGCGCAGACUUCCAAAUUACAAGACGAGUUCAACUUCAGUCUUGUCAAGCGUCUUAAGUUGGGAAACUGUUAAUAUGGUUUGUGGAACCACAAGAUUGAGAUGAGGACAUUUGGAUGGGUUUUUAAGAAUCUGAGAACCUUGCACCCCAAAUGCACUGAGACUUCCUUGCCAGCAGAAACAUCUUCCACACCAUCUGAGGCCACUCACCUGAAGUGAUUGCCUUUCAAGGAAAUGCCUAUUCUCCUGAAGAUGUACCAUCACUUCUUCUCAUUACUUCCAAAUCCAUUGUUAGUCAGAUCCACACAUCCUAGGUUUGUUCCCAGAGGAGAUAGCAUAACAACUGCAAGAUUUUGCUGAGUUUAUGUCCACAAGAACUUGAGAUGGAAUAAAAUAUUGGACUGGACUACAUUUAUUGAUAGAAGUUUUAUUAUCCAAGACUCUAGACUUCCUGUGCUAGCUUGAAGAGCUGGCAGUGGCUCUAACAAUUUGGUUGACUUAAACCUGGGCCCAAUAGUGGUCUACAUUUAACAAAGCAGAGAGUCCAGAACUUCCCUGGGAUAAUGUCAAGGAAGGCAUCCAAAGAUUUCAGAAUAUGAGAAAGAUGAAAGGAAAUUAUUUUGUGCAACCCAGUUUCCCAUGACCUGACUGUCUUGCAGAAGGACCCAGAGACUCCCAGAGAUUGAGACUUUCAGAAAUGCUCUAGUGAGGAGAGGACCAACAGCCUUGAAAAGCCCUGUGAGAAUGACAGAGCCUCUCUAUGGAAAUGGGCUUUCUGAUUAAGUGGGAAUGAUGGGAUCCUAGAUCCGUGGGUCCAGCUGACAGCUUACCCAUCAGACAAGAUGAAUGCAAUUGUUUAAAUGUGCAAAAGAAGUGAAGGAUGUCUUCAAUUUGAACUAGAGGGCUCACAGUCAACUUUGAAAUGGAACCAAUGGGCAACCUACGAAAGCAUCACUUUAUAUAAGCAGAAAAAUUCUAGGUCAGCAGAAACAUGACUCCAGUAACCACAAAAGGAAAUUAUUUCUCUUUCAAUUCCCAGACCUUUGGCAGCCCUCAGGAGCCCCAAAUCCUUGAUAAAGAGAAGUCCAGUCUCCUUAGUAAGGAAACUUCAGCAUGGUCAGAAAUACAAUAAUCUAUAAGUCUUCCUCCAGGCCCUCCCCAAAGGGAUCCGAGGUCAUUUACGAUGGUAACUGUGCAUCUGAGAAAGGGAGACAAUGAGACUUUUGAGGGCUUAUUAAGCACUCAGUAUAUUUUGACAUUCAUCUCUGGAAAGCCAAAAUCUCAUUGUGUCCUACCAUUCAGAGCAAAUCCAUAUCUUUUUCUACAGAUAACUGCAAAUUAUGCUUUUGAGAAACAGCUCCUGUUUUCCUACGGGGCUCUGGUAGAGACUGAAAGGUUGACUAUGGGACACCAAAUCGGUAGACACAUCAAGUUGCCAUCAUGACAGGGUGCUACCUGACGCCCCAAGUCAUAUGGCUGUGCAUACACAGCAGGAAUCCAUCAUCAAGUGAAGAAUGCCUUACUUUUGAUGUGUAAAAGUCCCUUGGUCAGAGUAAGGUUUUGCAGGAUACCUCGAUGCAGGAAUUCACAGGCCCAGGGAUCAAGGAGUGGAAAUGGUAGCGAACCCUCUCAACAUUACCUGAUGACCCGUUUCCAUCCUUGAAAGCUUGGUCUGGAGGUUUCGAGUCUUUGGUUGUCAAGAAGAGAGUGCUUCACCAGGAGAUGUGAUGAUGUUCCCGUUGACUUGCAUGCUGAGCCCUGGCUAUUUUGGGCUUCCUUAUACCACAGAACCAACAGGCAUAUAGAGAAAGGAGGCUUACUGAGCUAGCUGGGCAAUACCUCCUGACUUCCCAGGGGGCAGUGGGUUGGCACUAUACAGCAGGAACAAGAGAGGUCCAGGGUUGGCACCGAGGGGAUUUAUUGAGCUUUUCUUAGUACUUCCAUAUCCAAAAGCAAAAUCUAAUGAAAAACUACAGCUACCCAUUAAAGGCAGGACCACUAAGGACUCAGAUGACUCAGAAAUAAGGGUUUGUGUCAUCCUACGAGGUAAAGAACACCAACCACCUGAUGGUCAAGGGAACUUGGAAUGGGUGAUAAGAAAAAAAAGUGAUAAUAUCAAUCUC
ensembl:lncRNA